UACGUAGGGUGCAAGCGUUGUCCGGAAUUAUUGGGCGUAAAGAGCUCGUAGGCGGUUCGUCGCGUCGGCUGUGAAAUCCCGAGGCUCAACCUCGGGUCUGCAGUCGAUACGGGCGGACUGGAGUUCGGCAGGGGAGACUGGAAUUCCUGGUGUAGCGGUGAAAUGCGCAGAUAUCAGGAGGAACACCGGUGGCGAAGGCGGGUCUCUGGGCCGAUACUGACACUGAGGCGCGAAAGCGUGGGGAGCGAACAGG
rnacentral:rRNA from 1 species